CAACGCCGCGUGAGGGAUGACGGCCUUCGGGUUGUAAACCUCUUUUAGCAGGGAAGAAGCGAAAGUGACGGUCCUGCAGAAAAAGCGCCGGCUAACUACGUGCCAGCAGCCGCGGUAAUACGUAGGGCGCAAGCGUUAUCCGGAAUUAUUGGGCGUAAAGAGCUCGUAGGCGGUUUGUCGCGUCUGCUGUGAAAUCCCGAGGCUCAACCUCGGGCCUGCAGUGGGUACGGGCAGACUAGAGUGCGGUAGGGGAGAUUGGAAUUCCUGGUGUAGCGGUGGAAUGCGCAGAUAUCAGGAGGAACACCGAUGGCGAAGGCAGAUCUCUGGGCCGUAACUGACGCUGAGGAGCGAAAGGGUGGGGAGCAAACAGGCUUAGAUACCCUGGUAGUCCACCCCGUAAACGUUGGGAACUAGUUGUGGGGUCCAUUCCACGGAUUCCGUGACGCAGCUAACGCAUUAAGUUCCCCGCCUGGGGAGUACGGCCGCAAGGCUAAAACUCAAAGGAAUUGACGGGGACCCGCACAAGCGGCGGAGCAUGCGGAUUAAUUCGAUGCAACGCGAAGAACCUUACCAAGGCUUGACAUAUACGAGAGCGGCCA
rnacentral:rRNA from 1 species